GCUAUAUAUAGCUGUAGAGUAUAUAUAUAUAAAGACGGCUAGAAAACUCUGCAAUGCAUGGAAUAAUGCCUAACGGUCUUAAAUUGGAGCCGUUUGGCAACACGACAAAUAUGAGAUGGGUUCAUUUCGUGUACAAACUAGUCCUAAGAUGCUUUAUAAAUUUUAGAAAUGCAACAUAUUGAUGAACAAAGCAGAAAAACCACAUCCAUAAGAGAAGAUAUCGGCACAUAUGACGAAGUGGUGACAGAGAGUGCAGGCAUACACAAUGAAGGAAUUUCAUAUGACGAGUCCCUCCCAUCAGCCAGAUUCAGCAGUUUGUCAG
rnacentral:lncRNA from 1 species